rnacentral:lncRNA from 1 species
CUCACUGUCCAGAAAUGGCUCCAGGCUGAGUUGCACCCUCAAAGCUUUCCUCUGUUUCACCUCUGUUCAGACCCAAUGCAGGCCCCUUGCAGCCCAGAGGAAUAAAGAGAUGCCUAGAAAGAGGCCGUGGCCACUUGUUCUCUUUUGUUUUCUUCACUGCGGAGGACUGAGCAAGCCCACUAUCUGAGCAAUGUGGAAAUUCCAGCCCUCACAGGGCUUCACACCUUCAAGGGGAAGAACAUUGCGCCAUGAAACUUCCUUGCUCUAGGCCUGCCAGGUUCAGUGAUGGAGCUGAGGAAAAGUGCGGCAGGCUGGCAGCAGGCCUUGUGACGACACAGCGGGGAAACCACAGGAUUCUGCAUUCUUCUGACCACAAGAGGAAGAGAUGGGAUCUUACUAUGUUGCCCAGGAUAUUCUCAAACUCUUGGCUUCAAGUGAUACUCCUGCCUUGGCCUCCCAGAUUGCUGGGAUUACAGGUAUGAGCCACCACACCUGGUCAUGAAAUGAUUUUUUUCUUUUGGGUGCACUAUGUCUAUGACAUUGCAUUUACUAAACAGUAAUUUCUCUCACCCUUCUGAAAACAAAGUUGUAUACACAAAUUCCAACCAGAAUUUCAUCCACUAAACACUAACUGAGCAGUUACUAUGCUCAGAGUAGCUGAGCAGUUACUCUCACGUGCUAGGCAUGAGAGCUGCAAAGGUGAACAGAGCCCGUCCUGGCCCACUUGCUGGGGAGAGUCCCAUAAACAGACGAUCAACCAUAACAAUGCCCUGAGAGUUGAAAGAUCACCUGGACCACUCCAUUCAGUUUACAGAAGACGACACUGAGGUCUCGAGUGAGGGAUUAAGUACCCAAGAUGUCACAGCAGAUAAUGGCAGAGUCAUGAUUUCUAACAAACAAACAGAAGAAGCAAGUCCCCUGCCUGUCGUCAGCCGGAGCCCCUCUGCUACGCCUGCUCCCCUGUUUCCCAUGGACUGCCUCAUCUUUUGCCUCUAGUUUGAGCCUGAAAGUUACACCUCCAAUGAAUGAAACUCACAGGAUCAUUGGCAUCCAGUCUUCCUCCUCCACACCCACUCUCGGCCACCUGCCCUUCUCAUCCACAGGUGGGAGCAAAGCUUGGUCAACCUGAUAGGCCUCUUCCAGGCAGGGACAGGAGAAGGGACGGCACAGCAGCUCUGAGUCAGGACUCCUUUCGGUAAGGCGUGGCCGCCAGGAAGGCCUGAGAGAAGGAAACCAGCCCAGGUGCGCUCUGUUUACCUUCUCGGCUCACAAACAUGACCAGACCCUCCUUGGCUGGCUGGAUGAAGUCCCAGCCACUUAGUCCAGCCCUCGAGCCUCUCCCAUUCCAGCCACAGUCUGCCUGGCCAGUUCCAUCCCCCUACGGCUUUCCUGGUGUACCACACCAUCCUCGGAUUGCAGCUCGCCCUCUUGGGCCUUUCUGGCCUAGCAGGUGCUGUUCCUUCAGCUCCAAUGCCCUUCCCUGCCUCUCCACCCGGCAAGCUCCUUCUCUUUGUAUCUUCUGCACUAACACUUCCCUCCUCCCUCCCCUUCCCCUCUUUUUCCUUUGUGCCCCGGUGGCACUUCUGAGACAAUGUUACAAGCAUAAUAAAAUAACAAAAUCAU